CUCGUAGGUGGCCAACUAAGUCAGACGUGAAAUCCCUCGGCUUAACCGGGGAACUGCGUCUGAUACUGGAUGGCUUGAGUUUGGGAGAGGGACGCGGAAUUCCAGGUGUAGCGGUGAAAUGCGUAGAUAUCUGGAGGAACACCGGUGGCGAAGGCGGCGUCCUGGACCAACACUGACACUGAUGAGCGAAAGCCAGGGGAGCAAACG
rnacentral:rRNA from 1 species